UGACAAGGGAUCUCCCUAUCAAAGAUCCUUCUCAAUUUUGAAAAAAUUCAGUUUGAGAACCAUUGACAAGAGCAUCAACUGAACCCGUAGAAACACACUCCUCAAUCCAUGAGAUAAAAUACCCACUAGAUGUUAUCAUAAGCCUUGGCGAAAUCCAGCUUUAAUAGCAAGUCAUCCUCCCCUCUCUUUCCCAUUGCAUGAACAAUCUCAUCAGCAAUAUACAUAGAAACUCAUAGCACCAAUAACCCAUCAGCUACCACCUUGUUCCCAUCGCCCAAACCUCAAUCCAUCCUGACCUCCCCUCAAUCUCUUUUCUUCGAUCAUACCAAAGCAUAACUCGUCACCACAAUCUUCUCUCCUUCUCUCCCAACGACCACCAUGACCCUUUGCAAAAUCUUCUACACCCUACAAUAGAUCCCAGAUCAAAGCUCCUCUGUCAUCAUCCUCGUGCAUCACCACUGUUUCAUGUCACUAAACGACCGUCACGGUCACGGUGUCGCCAGACAUAGCCAUCGCCACCGUGUGUCUCUAGCCAUCAUCCUAGCCUUGCGACUGAAGCCACCUCAUCCACCCACCAUGGCACGAAACCUUGCUGAGUCGCCGAGGAGAGCCAUCGCAAAGACAUCGUUGCUCCUCUCUCCCUCCACCGGCAUUGGGUUAAGAUCUGGAUUUUUGGUGAUCCAUGGGGGCGUUGCUUGUACGACGGUUGUGGCUCCGUCAUGGGCUUGGCAAGUAAAUGUCCAUUUUCUUGAAAUUUACUUGAGUCCUACAUUGAUCGAUGGUCAUCGAACAACCUCUGGCUGUCGUUCAACGUUCUGUCAAGCUCCUUAUUGUCGUCAGUUUCUGCUCUUCAAGUUGCAGGCUUGCAGCCAUAGAAUUGUAGAAGGUGUAAGAAGAUUAUGAAGAAAGGUGAAAAAUAAAAUGACUUUUAUGUUCAAGAGGUCAGCUAUCUUCCCAAAAACGCUGAAUUUUGUUAUUGCAUUCAUGAGUUUCUACAUUGUAGGCAUGGCAGUGAUGAAGGAUAUACCUGACAACAAAGGAGAUAAAGCAUUUGGCAUCCAUUCAUUUUCAGCACGUUUCGGUAAAAAAACGGGUAUUUUAUGAUCAAGUGAAACAUCCCAACAAAUUUGGUUAUGCCCUCCUGUUAGCCCUUGGAUUUGACAGACUAAUCUUUGUUAGGUAUUUUGGAUUUGUGUCUCUUUUUUUGAAAUGGCUUUUGUGAUUGCCCUCACUAUGGGAGCAACAUCUUCUUUCUUGUGGAGUAAAAUUGUCACGGUUUUGGGAUUUGUUGUUCUUGCUUCAGUUCUCGGGUAUCAUGCCAAGUUUGUAGAUUUGGAAAGCAAACAUUCCAUAACAUCCUUCUGCUGGAAGGUAUUAGAAGUGGCGUACCUGCUCAUGCCAUUAACUAGAUGAAGAUGCAGAGGCAAAGUCAAAUUAAGAAUUAUGUUGCUCUUUUUGAUAUUGGUCAUGUUAUUUAAUUUUUCUUAUUUUGUUCAAGGUCACUUUAUUUGACAAUGAAUGAGUACGUGGUUUCCCUUUUAGGUAGGUAUGGAAAAUAAUGUGUAUGAAUUCCACCUCCACCACAGUAGAUAUAAAAUAUAUGCGAGAUAUAAUAAGAGCAUUUUUAUC